CUUGGCUGCUGUGGGGAUAAGGAAGAGUCAGUCCCUAGAGGAGAAGCCUACAAGAAACAUCAAGGAGAGAACUUGCAGAAUUGGAUGCCCCCUAGAACUGACUCCUGCUGAUUUCUUGGGUGAGAACCAGCCAGUAUCCACGUGAAAGACUGCCACACUAACUCUGCUAGGGUAGACCUCACUUCCAGCUAACAAUCUUUAGGCAGAGAUGUGUAGUGUGGGUUGUGUUUGGUGAGGAGAUACUGCUGUGUGACCACAUCCAGUUAAAGGAACACAACCAACACCUCUCUUGCAUCAGUAGCAACAUUUUUUUUCUGAUGAGCAGCUGUUUUUGAUUGGCAAUGAUUUAACUCAGCUAUAGAACCUCCUAAGCAACCUAUUUGUGUGCAUUGGAUAUAUCAGAGAAUGGAGCCAUGCUGUAGCAUGACAACAGUGCAUGUGUUUGGUGAAGAAAAAUAGUGAGCAGAUGGGCACCAAUCAUUUCCUACCAGCACUUGGGUUGCCAUCCUGGCAUCCUUUCCUGUUAACAGACUGAAGCUGAAUAACUUGGGGCAUGAUGAGAAUCAGGAGUAAACUUAUUCUUUGGACGUCCUUAUUCUCUGCCCCUUCCUUGGUUGUUUACCCUGUCUUCUCAACUGAUGUGGAGCCUGAUGGAACCCAAGUUGUGUGUAUUUAUGAUUAAUAAGUUUCCUGAUUAUCUUUCAAUCUUCUAGUGUAUUCAUGAUGUUGAGACAUCAGUGCUGAUGAACUGUUUUUCAAAGUGAUAUGUUGUGCAAAUUAUUUCUUUUUUAUAAAAACAAUAAAGAUUCAGACUAAGGAGA